UGGUGGAUGAACUGAAAUCCUGGUGUAUGUUGAAGAUCCAGAAUCUGGAGUUGAGACUUUCGGGAGAGUCUCGGACCUUUAGAGCUAAAUCCACACCAUCUCCCUCCGACUCCUCUCCAGGGCUAGCUCUGGAACCGGCCAUGGUGAUUGCAACGUGGAUUGAAGAGCUGGAUGAGGAGUGUGGCUUACCUUCCUCUCGACUCUGCCGUAACCUUAAAAUCACUCCUAAGAAAGAGUUACCUGUG
rnacentral:lncRNA from 1 species